rnacentral:tRNA from 1 species
GGGAAUUUAGCUCAGUGGUAGAGCGCUUGCCUAGCAAGCACAAGGCCCUGGGUUCGGUCCCCAGCUCG